rnacentral:rRNA from 1 species
CUACCUAGUAGUACGGAAUAAUUGUUGGAAACGGCAACUAAUACCGUAYACGCCCUACGGGGGAAAAAUUUAUUGCUAUUAGAUGAGCCUAUAUUAKAUUAGCUAGUUGGUGGAGUAAUAGCCUACCAAGGCAAUGAUCUAUASCUGAUCUGARAGGAUGAUCAGCCACACUGGAACUGAGAUACGGUCCAGACUCCUACGGGAGGCAGCAGUGGGGAAUAUUGGACAAUGGGCSAAAGCCUGAUCC